GUCCGUAGCCGGCUCGCCAAGUUUCUCGUUAAAUCCAGCGUCCCAAGCGCUGGGCCGCGAGGAAUACUGCCGAGCUAGAGAGUGGGAGAGGCCAACGGUAUUCCCGGGGUAGGGGCGGAAUCCUUUGAUCCCGGGCGGACCACCAGUGGCGAAGGCUGCUGACUAGAACGCGCCUGACGGUCCGGGACGAAAGCUGGGGGAGCGAAUCGGAUUAGAUACCCGAGUUGUCCCAGCCGUAAACGAUGCAGGCCAGGUGUUGGAGCGGCCAUGCGCCGCUUGUGCGGUAGGGAAGCCCUUAAGUCUGCCGCCUGGGGAGUACGGCCGCAAGGCUGAAACUUAAAGGACUUGGCGGGGGAGCACCACCAGGGGUGAAGCUUGCGGUUCAAUUGGAGUGAACGCCGGGAACCUUACCGGAGGCGACAGCAGGUUGAAAGCCAGGUUGACGAUCUUGCUGGACGAGCUGACAGGAGGUGCAUGGCCGUCGCCAGUUCGUGCCAUGAGGUGUCCUGUCAAGUCAGGCAACGCUCGAGACCCACGCUCCUGUUGCUACCAGGAGUUUUCCAACGGGCACUCUGGGGGGACUGCGUCGAUAAGACGGAGGAAGGGGUGUGCUACGGCAGGUCAGUUGCCCCGAAUCCUUCGGGCCCCACGCGAGCUGCAAUGGUUGGGACAGUGCGUUCCGACCUCGAAAGCGGGAGGCAAUCUCUAAACCCAACCUCAGUUUGGAUCGAGGGCUGAAACCCGUCCUCGUAA
rnacentral:rRNA from 1 species